CUCAACCGAGGAAUUGCGUUCCAAACCGCCGGGCUGGAGGCAGACAGAGGUGAGCGGAACUCACAGUGGAGCGGUGAAAUGCGUUGAGACUGUGAGGAACACCGGUGGCGAAGGCGGCUCACUGGGUCUGUGCUGACGCUGAGGCACGAAAGCUAGGGUAGCGAACGGGAUUAGAUACCCCGGUAGUCCUAGCCGUAAACGAUGAGCACUUGGUCGGGGAGGCAUCCACACCCUCCCGGCCGAAGCGAAAGUGAUAAGUGCUCCGCCUGGGUAGUACGGUCGCAAGGCCGAAACUCAAAGGAAUUGACGGGGGCUCACACAAGCGGUGGAGGAUGUGGCUUAAUUCGAGGCUACGCGAAGAACCUUAUCCUGGUCUUGACAUGCACGGAUGGCGCGCCUGAAAGGGAUGCGUCUGCCUUCGGGUGAAUCG
rnacentral:rRNA from 1 species